CAGACAUAUGAACAGGCCAACAAAGUCUUUGAGAAGGCAAACAAGUUGGAGCAGGAGUUCAGCGAAUACUUCACAGUAAUUCUACAGGGCGACUCAAUGGAGGAACUUUACAGCAAAGUGAAGAAGGUCAUCGAGGACCAUUCUGGUCCCUACAUCUGGAUCCCUUCCUCAGAGAGGUUUUGAGCCCCCCAGUCCUCUGGUCCCAGGAGCCUCUCUUAUCUCUACAGACCUACAUGUGCUGUAGGGUUUUCUACCACUUCACGUCUGACGCCACGACUGCAAAUGUGUGUAACUCCUGCAUGAGUUUUAGAGAAAUCCCCUCAAAUCUGGAAGUAACAUUCCAGGCUCAUUUUAUUCGUGGACAUGGAAGCAAAAGGAAAGGUACGUGGCAGAAGAUGGACAGUGAGUCUGAAUGUAUGAAAAUGUGUACGAAGUGGGGUCUGUAGAUGCUGCUGUCAGAUUGGGGAUGAAGACGGAAUAGUUUUUUUUAAGUGUAUAAACACUGGUGUUAAAACACAAGAGUAGAAGGUUGACAGGCAUUUUGUUUUAGUCCUACAUUGUUAACAGCAUAUGAACUGACCCCCCCCCCCCCCAACCACAACCCCCUAUGAUGCUCAGACUAUUCUGCUCAUGCUUUGUUUUUCUAAUUUUAUGAUGUAAUUACAAACUGCUUACAUUUUAAAUGGCUGCAUCAGGACCUCUUCAGAAAAUGGGGAAUCUGGAUAAAAUGGCAUAACAAUGGCAAAUUGUUUAUAUUCUUGAAACUUCCACACGAUUGGUAAAAAUGUACGAUUUUAGUACAUAUUAAAAUGUUUUACACAUGAUCAGGUUUGACUACA